rnacentral:rRNA from 1 species
UGGCUCAGAACGACGCUGGCGGCGCGUUUAAGCAUGCAAGUCGAGCGGCAAGGGCCUUCGGGCCCCUAGAGCGGCGGACGGGUGAGUAACACGUGGACAAUCUGCCCCCCGGCCCGGGAUAGCCCAGGGAAACCUGGAUUAAUACCGGAUGAGACGGGACCCGCGAUGGCGGGACCCGGGAAAGGCGCUGCGGCGCCGCCGGGGGAUGAGUCUGCGUCCCAUUAGCUAGACGGCGGGGUAACGGCCCACCGUGGCGACGAUGGGUAGCCGGCCUGAGAGGGUGGACGGCCACAUUGGAACUGAGACACGGUCCAGACUCCUACGGGAGGCAGCAGCUAAGAAUCUUCCGCAAUGGGCGAAAGCCUGACGGAGCGACGCCCGCGUGAACGAAGAAGGCCGUGAGGUUGUAAAGUUCUUUUCGGGAGGGGGAACAACCGUGGCAGGGAAUGGCCGCGGGAUGACGUGAAUCCCGGAAUAAGCCCCGGCUAACUACGUGCCAGCCGCUGC